rnacentral:lncRNA from 1 species
UUGUUUUAAGAUAACAUGAUAAGAUGCCUUGCAUACUUAUGGAAAGAGUUUUCUAUGAGUAUACGGCGGUUGUCAUGACCUUCGAUUCACAAUCUCAGAUAGAGGGCGUGACAUUACUACUCUCCAAGUCUCCCACCCCCCUCUCCUUUUUUCUUCUUUUUUGGCUCUUCUCUUUGUGAGAGAGCGAACUUCUUAAGUCUUGCA